GCAACGAGCGCAACCCCUGCAUUCAGUUGCCAUCGGUAAGGCCGGGGCACUCUGGAUGGACUGCCGGCGACAAGCCGGAGGAAGGUGGGGACGACGUCAAGUCAUCAUGGCCCUUAUGUCCAGGGCGACACACGUGCUACAAUGGCCGGCACAACGGGAAGCGAAGGGGCGACCCUGAGCGGAUCCCACAAAAGACCGGUCUCAGUUCGGAUUGCAGUCUGCAACUCGACUGCAUGAAGUUGGAAUCGCUAGUAAUCGUGGAUCAGCCAAGCCGCGGUGAAUACGUUCCCGGGCCUU
rnacentral:rRNA from 1 species